GCGCACCAGUCGAGAAACCUCCGCAAUACACGAAAGUGUGACGGGGCCAUCCCGAGUGCCGUCCGCUGAGGACGGCUUUUCCCCAGUGUACACAGCUGGGGGAAUAAGGAGAGGGCAAGCCUGGUGUCAGCCGCCGCGGUAAUACCAGCUCUCCGAGUGGUGGGGACGCUUAUUGGGCCUAAAGCAUCCGUAGCCGGCUGGGCAAGUCCUCCGUUAAAUCCAACGAUUCAAUCGUUGGGCUGCGGGGGAUACUGUCCAGCUUGGGGGCGGGAGAGGCCGACGGUAUUCCCGGGGUAGGGGUGAAAUCCUAUAAUCCCGGGAGGACCACCAGUGGCGAAGGCUGUCGGCCAGAACGCGCCUGACGGUGAGGGAUGAAAGGCUGGGGGAGCGAACCGGAUUAGAUACCCGCGUAGU
rnacentral:rRNA from 1 species